AGUAUCCCUCUGCCCCCAAGGAGACUGGAGCUGCCUAAGAAAUGAGGACACUUUGGUUUCAUAAUGUGACUUUUGUCACAGUGGAGCAUACUUUUGACUCUCACUUCCUGUUUUAAUUCUGUUUGGAAAUAAGAAAAUCUGCUGAGAUGGAGUUUCCAAAGAACUUCUAGAAGAAGCUCUCUCUGCCACCUACAAAAGCACACGAGAGCAAAUAGAGCUCAAGGGCAAAGUUCUGGAAGGUUCUAUGGAGUGUUUGCUCCUGCAUGUGAUGGACUGGGCUUCAAGAUCACCAUGCAGAGACACCGUACUGCAGAAUCCACGGAGCAUCCCAGGCUUGUUUUGACUGAACAUCAACACGGUUUCAUACUGGGACAGGGAGGUAAAGGUGUCCAAAGGAUGCCACCCAAAGAGGGCACGAAAAUGCCAUGACCCUUCUCCCAUAUCUUGCCCUAUGCAUUUUAUCCCUGACAAGAACAACCUAGAGGAGGAAAAGCUUAUUUUGGCUCAUGGUUCGGCGGUUCAGUUCGUGGUCAGCUGAAACUCCAUUGCUGUGGGCCCACGUGAGGCAGAACAUCAUGGCGGAAGAGCGUGGUGGAGGAACACCACUGUGCUCAUGGCAACCAAGGAAGCAGAGAGAGGGGAAGGGGCCAAGGGAAGGUGAACCCUUCCAGGGGACGCUCUCAGCGACCCACCUCUUCCAGCCAGACUCCCCGCUUGGACAGUUACCAGCCAGUUAGUCCCUUCAAACCAGAAUGGACUGAUUAGGUCACAGCUUUCAUGAUCCAGUAAUUUCACCUUGAACACCCCGUGUCAACACAGGGUUUUUGGGGGGUCGCCUUAGAUCCAAACCAUAGCACCUCUGUGGUAUUCUGUCUAGUAAGCCUCCUUAUCGUGGUGGCGCACGCCUGUAAUCCCAGCAACUCGGAAGACUGAGGUAGGAGGAGGAUUGGGAGUUCAAGCCCAGCCUGGCCACUUAGGGAGACCCCCGUAUUAUACCCACAUUAUACCUUGGAAAAGUCCAAGGACAAUUAGAUGACAGUGGAUUGGAGAUCUAAAUGUUUUAACAGGGCCUAUGAGAUUCAAAUGGACAUCAAUUAAAUAAAAAAUGAUUAAGCACCUA